CUCCUCAGAGAACGCACACUGUGGGGGUAUAUUGCCCAGUUGGUCACAUCUCGUCCCACGCACGCAGUGGAGCAGAGCAGCCCUAGGCGUGAAUACUCGUCUACCGAGAUGAAUAACGACCAUUAUCUAGUAGAAUAAGCGAAGACUAACUCCGUGCCUGCAGCUGCGCUAUUCGGAUGGGGAUAGCGACGUUCCGAAAUACUGGGGGUAAAGCGCACGUAGACGGCUAUUUAAGUCAGAGGUGACAGCAUGGACCUCAACUCCAGAACAGCCUUUGAGACUGGAUAGCUAGAAUCUUGGAGAGGCGGGUGGAAUUAAGAGUGUAGAGGUGAAAUUCGUAGAUAUUCGGAAGAACACCAGUGGUGAAGGCGGCCCGCUGGACAAGUAUCGACGCUGAGGUGCGAAAGCGUGGGGAUCAAACAGGAUUAGAUACCGUGGUAGUCCACACCGUAAACGAUGAUAACUAGCUGUCCGGGCUCAUGGAACUUGGGUGGCGCAGCUAACGCAUUAAGUUAUCCGCCUGGGGAGUACGGUCGCAAGAUUAAAACUCAAAGGAAUUGACGGGGGCCUGCACAAGCGGUGGAGCAUGUGGUUUAAUUCGAAGCAACGCGCAGAACCUUACCAGCGUUUGACAUCCUCAUCGCGAUUUCCAGAGAUGGAUUUCUUCAGUUCGGCUGGAUGAGUGACAGGUGCUGCAUGGCUGUCGUCAGCUCGUGUCGUGAGAUGUUGGGUUAAGUCCCGCAACGAGCGCAACCCUCGCCUUUAGUUGCCAGCAUUUAGUUGGGUACUCUAAAGGAACCGCCGGUGAUAAGCCGGAGGAAGGUGGGGAUGACGUCAAGUCCUCAUGGCCCUUACGCGCUGGGCUACACACGUGCUACAAUGGCGACUACAGUGGGCAGCUAUCCCGCGAGGGUGAGCUAAUCUCCAAAAGUCGUCUCAGUUCGGAUUGUUCUCUGCAACUCGAGAGCAUGAGGGCGGAAUCGCUAGUAAUCGCGGAUCAGCAUGCCGCGGUGAAUACGUUCCCAGGCCUUGUACACACCGCCCGUCACACCAUGGGAGUUGGAUUCACUCGAAGGCGUUGAGCUAACCCGCAAGGGAGGCAGGCGACCACAGUGGUAGGGCCCGUA
rnacentral:rRNA from 1 species